rnacentral:rRNA from 1 species
UGGGGAAUUUUGCACAAUGGGGGGAACCUUGAUGCAGCGACGCCGCGUGAGGGAUGGAGGCCUUCGGGUUGUGAACCUCUUUCGCUCGUGUGCAAGCCGCUAUUUGGGUAGUGGUGAGUGUAGCGGGUAAAGAAGCGCCGGCUAACUACGUGCCAGCAGCCGCGGUAAUACGUAGGUGGCAAGCGUUGUCCGGAAUUAUUGGGCGUAAAGAGCGCGUAGGCGGUAUGGUAAGUCUGUCUUAGAAGUGCGGGGCUUAACCCCGUGAGGGGACAGAGACUGUCAUACUGGAGUCUCGGAGAGGAAAGCGGAAUUCCUAGUGUAGCGGUGAAAUGCGUAGAGAUUAGGAAGAACACCGGUGGCGAAGGCGGCUUUCUGGACGAGCACUGACGCUGAGGCGCGAAAGCGUGGGGAGCGAACAGG